GCUCUCUCCUCUUCUUUUUUCUUUGAAUAGUCUUUAUCAAUCGUCGUCUCGAAAGUCCUUCACGUCCUCAGAUUGUAAGUGUUUCAAUCGCUGUAAAUCGUAAAUCGGUAUCAAGAUUUCUAAGUUGCCCCGUGAGAUUUUUGAUUUGCGAAUUGGUUUCAAGGACUUCAAAUCGGUUUAUUUAUUGUAUUGAUCUUGAUCGGAGGUUUCUUUUUUUCUCGUUAGAUUGAAAACAAUCCGACUGGUUUUAGUUUCUCGCUCGUCGUCGUCUUAGUUUGUUUUAGGGUUUCCAGUUGUUCAUCAUAUCUUGGUUACGUUUUUGGCUAGAGUUAAAGUUGUUUACUUCAUUUACACUUUCCUUGUGCGGCGGAUCCGAAUGGAAAAAUGAAUCGUCAUCACGAUCCCAAUCCCUCGGAUGAAGAAGAAGACGAAAUCGUCAAUCCCUUCUCGAAAGGAGGUGGCGGCGCUGGAAGGCCAUUUAACGUUGAUGCUACCGUCGAUAUUCCAUUGGAUGUAAGAGAGCACUUAGUAUCAUGCAUAUUCCUCACUUUCAUUGCUCUUAAUGUGUGAAUUGGGUGGCAGGACUCUUCAAAGAAACAAAGAGAGCUUUCUGAUUGGGAAUCUGAGCUUAAGAAUAGAGAAAUCUAUGAAACAAAAACAGUUACAAUAGAAAGCUUUUUAAGGAAAUAUAAGAGUUGGUUCCUAACAUAACGUUAGUUUGACUUAGUCUAGUAAACACCUGCUAUAAAUAGUUUCUUGGCUUUUUUUCAUGAAACUCUUUAAUCCUUCUUGACUCACCCAGAAUAUUAAAAGAAAUGUAAGUGAGUCAACAUGAGUUUGACUUUAUGAUGACCCACUCUACUUUUUUCAUUUGUUUUUGAAUAUUGUGUGAUGAUUCCGUUGCUAAUGAAAUAACAUCGAAUUGUGUCCACAGCUGGCGUGAAGACAAGCGAUAAAAACUGCACCUUUUUCCCUAUUAUACACCACGACAUUGCUAAUGAGAUACCAGUUCAUGCACAGAAACUGCAAUAUCUGGCGUUUGCUAGUAUAGUUUUGUGUCUCGUAUUCAAUGUCAUUGCAGUGAUAGUCUGCUGGAUUAAAGGCGGAGGUGUCAAAAUCUUUUUUCUUGCCACGAUCUAUGCGCUGCUUGGAUGUCCAAUUUUAUAUCUAUUAUGGUAUAGGCCUCUCUACCGAGCUAUGAGGACUGACAGCGCUCUGAAGUUCGGUUGGUUUUUCUUCUUCAACCUGAUUCUUAUUGGCUUCUGCGUAUUUGCCGCCAUUGCUCCUCCGAUCUUUUUCCGCGGCUUGUCAUUAACGUACGCCUUCUUCUAAUCGUUGCUCCUUUUGUCUUUCUCGUUAUCGAGCUUUGCAGUGCUUCAUGCAAGGGCUUCACUUAGGAAGUUUUAAGUUGUGUUGAUUGAUUUGAAAUGCCAAGCUGUAACUAGGAAGAGAGCUAGAAAAGCUAAGAAUCUUAGUUAAGUGUUUCGUUUUGAGAUUUUAUUCAGGUUUUCGUUUUGAGAUACUUUGUUACAUGUCUUGGGGGAUUUUCAAAUCAAACAUUGUUUUCUU